GCGUGUUUCUACACCCGCUUUAUACCCUGUGAAUCCGCGGCGUGGCCGCUGUUGUUGCCUCGGCCAGAUGCCCCAGGGCGGGGCCCUAGGCCUGGGAGACCAGGCGCUGGCCGGCGGCGCGCGAACUUCUGGAUACUGAUCGCGGGGAGCUCUGAGUGAUGGAUAUCCGAAUCGAUAUAGA
rnacentral:misc_RNA from 1 species